rnacentral:rRNA from 1 species
UACGGCGAGUGAGAGAGGAAGAGCCCAAGAUUGAAAGCUGGCGUCUUCGGCGUCCGCAUUGUAAUCUCAAGAAGUGUUUUCCGCUUCGGACCAUGCCUAAGUCCCUUGGAAAAGGGCAUCAUAGAGGGUGAUAAUCCCGUACAUGGCAUGGAGCGCCCGAAGCUUUGUGAUACGCUUUCUACGAGUCGAGUUGUUUGGGAAUGCAGCUCAAAAUGGGUGGUAAAUGCCAUCUAAGGCUAAAUAUUGGGGAGAGACCGAUAGCGAACAAGUACAGUGAUGGAAAGAUGAAAAGAACUUUGAAAAGAGAGUUAAACAGUACGUGAAAUUGCCAAAAGGGAAGGGUAGGAGGUCAGAGAUGCGUCUUGGGAUUCAGCCUUGCUUUUGCAUGGUGUUUUUCCCAAGUUGCAGGCCAACGUCGGUUUUGGGCACUGGAGAAGGGUAGGAGGAACGUGGCACCUCUCGGGGUGUGUUAUAGCCUCCUACUGGAUACAGCGACCGAGACCGAGGAACGCAGCGUACUCGUAAGAGCGGGCCUUUUGGCACCUUUACGCUUAGGGCGUUGGCAUAAUGGCCCUCUACCACCCGUCUUGAAG